UGGGGAAUAUUGCACAAUGGGCGAAAGCCUGAUGCAGCAACGCCGCGUGAGUGAUGAAGGCCUUCGGGUUGUAAAGCUCUGUCUUUUGGGACGAUAAUGACGGUACCAAAGGAGGAAGCCACGGCUAACUACGUGCCAGCAGCCGCGGUAAUACGUAGGUGGCAAGCGUUGUCCGGAUUUACUGGGCGUAAAGGAUGCGUAGGCGGAUUUUAAGUGAGAUGUGAAAUACCCGGGCUUAACUUGGGUGCUGCAUUUCAAACUGGGAAUCUAGAGUGCGGGAGAGGAGAAUGGAAUUCCUAGGUGUAGCGGUGAAAUGCGUAGAGAUUAGGAAGAACACCAGUGGCGAAGGCGAUUCUCUGGACCGUAACUGACGCUGAGGCAUGAAAGCGUGGGUAGCAAACAGGAUUAGAUACCCUGGUAGUCCACGCCGUAAACGAUGAGUACUAGGUGUAGGAGGUAUCGACCCCUUCUGUGCCGCAGUUAACACAAUCAAGUACUCCGCCUGGGAAGUACGAUCGCAAGAUUAAAACUCAAAGGAAUUGACGGGGUCAUAGCU
rnacentral:rRNA from 1 species